rnacentral:lncRNA from 1 species
UCGGGGGUCUUAGAUCUUUAGCUACUAGUACAAAUGUAUACUAUUGUAAAUUAUAUGCUUGUGUUGUUGGUUUCCAAUAGUUUCAAACUUUGAUUUUUCUACGCUAUGUACCACUUUGCACCAUAAUAUCAUUGAUAUUAAUACAAAAAUCUCAUUCUGUAGUAACAACAAACAAACAAAGUGUGUCAAGCAGACCUACUAUGGGUCCUCAACGCUCUUUAACUUUGUACUUGUUUGGCUUGAUAUUAGCGUCACUGAUGAGUCUUAUUUAGACGAAACGUGCGUCUGGCGUACUAAAUGAUAAUCCUGAUACCUUUGAUAACUAUUUACGAUAACUGCUCUUGAAUUUUUACUAGAUAACAUGUCUGAUUGCCGUAGAGAUUCCCGGAAAUACGUCUUGCACCAGAAAACCAAUGAAGCAACAUUUUAUAAAUCAGCUGAAAUGGUGUUUGAUGAAAUAACGAGUUACAACCUAGACAACUUGUAGAUUUUAGAUGUAGAUCUAUGUUCACCUUUUCAUAAAUAAGGGAUAUCAUUGAUCGACUCCGCAAUGAUUUAGUGUGAUCUAGUGACACUAACAUAAAAGUGAUAGCCUUGUGAAAUAAAAAAU